CCUAUACUAAAACGGAUUAACGGAGUGACGACUGGUAACUGCCCUAUCCUGACUUCCCCCUAUUACAGAUUACAAAAAUGUCAGUUACCUAUAUAUAUGCUUUACCCACCUAAUGUGUCAUUGUUACACCUGAGUGUACCUAAUGUAUCAUUGUUACACCUGAGUAUACAGGUAAAGUGUACCUAGUAUAUCAUUGUUACACCUGAAUAUACAGGUAAGGUGUACCUAGUGUAUCAUUGUUACACCUGAGUAUACAGGUAAGGUGUACCUAGUAUAUCAUUGUUACACCUGAGUAUACAGGUAAGGUGUACCUAGUGUAUCAUUGUUACACCUGAGUAUACAGUUAAGGUAUACCUAGUAUAUCAUUGUUACACCUGAGUAUACAGGUAAGGUGUACCUAGUAUAUCAUUGUUACACCUGAGUAUACAGGUAAGAUGUACCUAGUAUAUCAUUGUUACACCUGAGUAUACAGGUAAGACUACCUGGUGUAACAUUGUCAAGCCCAUGCACCCCCACCCACCCCAACACUAUGGUGAGUGUCUUGUGUCAGGAUGUUGUGUGAUGAGGAUGUGAAUGUAGUUGUAUGGGAAGGAUGUUCAUUGAUAAGCUAGCUGUUUUUACCUUGUUAAUUAAUCAUGAAGGUCGUGUCCUCUCACCAAGCCCCCAGUUGUAUAGAUUUAGGUCAGGUUACACGGCCUAUUCAGGGAAGGAAGGGUAAUUUACAAUUUUUUUCAAAUUUGAACAUCAUUGUUUUCACAUUUGUAAUGAAAUUUAUCCUGAGGACAGAUAAUGGGAUGUCAUAUUUUCUCUGAUAUAUGACAGAUCGUAACCAUAUUCUAUUUCACAAUUUAGAAUUGGACAAAUUGGCACUUUGCCAUUUUGUAUUGUCGACGUAAUGUUCUUUCUGGCUAUUUAAUUAGAAAAUAUAUGUAUUUGUCUUGAUUGCUUUGACAUUUGUCUUAGAAAUUUUUCAUGCAUGAAGUAAUCAAAAUGAAUAUUUGAUGAAUAUUUGAAGAAAUACAACAAUAGUUUAUAUGGAUUUCCGGUUGAAAACACAAAGGAAAUGAAUCAUUCCUGAUUGUGGUUUAUGAUUAAAUGACAAAGCUUAGAACAAACUUCAGACUUUGUUUGAAAAUAUUGAGCUUGAGUAUUUUGUUGAAAUUGCUGAAUCAUGUAUGAAUUAUGUGAGGAUACCUAAAGCAGGUCCCCAAAACAAUGGUAUGUCCCUAAAACAUUAAAACAGUGAGUAUAUUAUGUAUAUUUAUGGUUACAGCACCAGACGAGUACAACAAUAACAAAGAUGCGUUUUAACAAUUUAUCGUACAUUGAACCCAGAUGAUGAUCAAUAAGGAUCAUGGCUCAAUUUUUUUAAUAUUUCAUGCUUUAAAUGAGCAUAUUUCUGUUAGCAUCACAAAACCUUUGAACAUUCUUUUGAAUCCAUAUGAACAGAAGGUACUUUUAUGAUCAGGUUUUGUUCCUAUUGAAUGACCUCGUCAUUAGUUUCUGAUGUAACUUGAACUUUGUACACAGAUUAACGCACUGCAUACAGAUAUGUUGCAUGAUUAUCUGUACUGUAAGAUACAUGAUUGUAAAGCAGGAAUUAGAAACUUGUUCAAUGAUUAUAAAUCAUUUUUCUGUGAGAAAGGGGAUAUAUUUUAGGUACAACCACUUUACCUUGACUUUACAGCUAUAGUGGUGUCUCUGUUGGUGGACAGUCACAAAAUAUAUUCAAAGAAUAUAUUUGUAAAAAGAACAACACAAUUUUAAUAAAUAAACAGGUACUCUAUAGAACUACAUGUAUAUUAAACCAGUAACUAUAUCGGGAGGCAUUUGGAUUCUGUCACUAUGUUAAAACUUUCAACAUACAUAAAAUUGUACCAGGUAUUCAGGUACAGUAUAGGUACUUACUUUAGCAUACAUACCAGGUAUUCAGGUACAGUAUAGGUACAUACUACUUUAGCAUGUAUACCAGGUAUUCAGGUACAGUAUAGGUACUUACUUUAGCAUACAUACCAGGUAUUCAGGUACAGUAUAGGUACAUACUUUAGCAUACAUACCAGGUAUUCAGGUACAGUAAAGGUACUUCCUUAAUUUAGCAUAACAGUAUAAGUACUUACUUUAGCAGACACUAAUUUUAGCUAUUAUGAAAUUAAUACAGGACUAAUUAGCACACUCACAAUUUAUGCAAUAAAAAUCUUAAUACGGAAACUUUAACAUGUGCAAUCAUAUUUUUGCUCAUUAUUAAAAGUGCGAAAACCCACUAAAAUUAGAAUGUCACAAAAACAUGUACAUUUGCUGUAGUAGCAUUGACUUCACACUAAUAUUGAGGGUGAUAAGGAUGGACCUCUAUACUAAAGGGUGGAUUGGUCUUCUAUAGGUACGGAAGCUGAUGUCAGAACUAAAUCAUGUUGACUACAUGUACCGGCUAGUUUAAUAUGAUUUAUCACCUGCUUUCAUCCUACAAAGGUGAAUUAUUGAUGGAAUUUUUAGGGUUUUCCACACAUCAUUUCCCAGCACCAAUUUGUAAAAUUGAAAAAUUAUUGUUUCCUUUUCUAGGGGAAAAAAUAAAGGGAAAUAAUCAAUUAAUAGCACCGAUACGUGAAAUUUUUAACUAUCGGUAUGUAUAUUUAAUUUAGAUGUGAAGUUUGAUAGGAGGUGUUAAUUUAAAACAUGUGGGCCACGGGCUGUGCCAGGUAGAUAAUACACAGCCUCUAUUGUAAACUAGCAUCUCCCUAACUCCAAAGUUAAUCAAGGCAUUGACACUAAUCAAUUAUGGAUUCCUUCAAUUAAAAAUAUGAAAAGCGUCAAAUCAUAUUAAAGAUUGUUUGAUAAGGGAGAGGAUACAGUGUUUGUCAAUAUCAACUUUAAAAUGAAAAUUGCAUUCAUGGAAUAAAAUUCUUUCUUUUAUUCUUUCAUUAAUUGUUAAUUUUGUGAACAGUAUUUGAUUCGUUUAUAGAUAGCAAUAUCAUUAUAAUGUCACGAAAUUCUAGGACUACAUGAGAAAUGGCCC
rnacentral:lncRNA from 1 species